rnacentral:sRNA from 1 species
AUAUAAGAUAGGGUAACUAUGCACAUGCAACCGAUAGCGAUUGUAAUAUAAUUAUAUAUUCGUAUCUGUUUUUGUGCAAUAUUAAAGAACUUGGUAAAAUAUCCAAGUUUUUUCUUGG